AGGGCGAUCAGGGCUCACCGCAGGCUCAACCUCUCAGGCUGAAGUGAUCCUCCCACCCCAGCCUCCUGGAUAGGAUUGCAGGCAAAGUGUUUCAUGGAUUUCAAAGCUGGAGGCACCUUAUGUCACAUUCUUGGGGCUGCUUACAAGUAUAAAAAUGAACAGGGAUGGCGGAGGUUUGACCUACAGAACCCAUCUCGAAUGGAUCGUAAUGUGGAAAUGUUUAUGAACAUUGAAAAAACAUUGGUGCAGAACAAUUGUUUGACCAGACCCAACAUCUACCUCAUUCCAGACAUUGAUCUGAAGUUGGCUAACAAAUUGAAAGAUAUCAUCAAACGACAUCAGGGAACAUUUACGGAUGAGAAGUCAAAAGCUUCCCACCACAUUUACCCAUAUUCUUCCUCACAAGACGAUG
rnacentral:sRNA from 1 species